rnacentral:rRNA from 1 species
AUUGAACGCUGGCGGCAGGCCUAACACAUGCAAGUCGAGCGGAUGAAGGGAGCUUGCUCCUGGAUUCAGCGGCGGACGGGUGAGUAAUGCCUAGGAAUCUGCCUGGUAGUGGGGGAUAACGUCCGGAAACGGGCGCUAAUACCGCAUACGUCCUGAGGGAGAAAGUGGGGGAGCUUCGGACCUCACGCUAUCAGAUGAGCCUAGGUCGGAUUAGCUAGUUGGUGGGGUAAAGGCCUACCAAGGCGACGAUCCGUAACUGGUCUGAGAGGAUGAUAAGUCACACUGGAACUGAGACACGGUCCAGACUACUACGGGAGGCAGCAGUGGGGAAUAUUGGACAAUGGGCGAAAGCCUGAUCCAGCCAUGCCGCGUGUGUGAAGAAGGUCUUCGGAUUGUAAAGCACUUUAAGUUGGGAGGAAGGGCAGUAAGUUAAUACCUUGCUGUUUUGACGUUACCAACAGAAUAAGCACCGGCUAACUUCGUG